rnacentral:rRNA from 1 species
AUUGAACGCUGGCGGCAGGCCUAACACAUGCAAGUCGAGCGGAUGAAGGGAGCUUGCUCCUGGAUUCAGCGGCGGACGGGUGAGUAAUGCCUAGGAAUCUGCCUGGUAGUUGGGGAUAACGUCCGGACACGGGCGCUAAUACCGCAUCCGUCCUGAGGGAGAAAGUGGGGGAUCUUCGGACCUCACGCUAUCAGAUGAGCCUAGGUCGGAUUAGCUAGUUGGUGGGGUAAAGGCCUACCAAGGCGACGAUCCGUAACUGGUCUGAGAGGAUGAUCAGUCACACUGGAACUGAGACACGGUCCAGACUCCUACGGGAGGCAGCAGUAGGGAAUAUUGGACAAUGGGCGAAAGCCUGAUCCAGCCAUGCCGCGUGUGUGAAGAAGGUCUUCGGAUUGUAAAGCACUUUAAGUUGGGAGGAAGGGCAGUAAGUUAAUACCUUGCUGUUUUGACGGUACCAACAGAAUAAGCACCGGCUAACUUCGUG